rnacentral:rRNA from 1 species
CCUGGCUCAGGAUGAACGCUGGCGGCGCGCCUAACACAUGCAAGUCGAACGAGCGAGAGAGAGCUUGCUUUCUCGAGCGAGUGGCGAACGGGUGAGUAACGCGUGAGGAACCUGCCUCAAAGAGGGGGACAACAGUUGGAAACGACUGCUAAUACCGCAUAAGCCCACGGCUCGGCAUCGAGCAGAGGGAAAAGGAGCAAUCCGCUUUGAGAUGGCCUCGCGUCCGAUUAGCUAGUUGGUGAGGUAACGGCCCACCAAGGCGACGAUCGGUAGCCGGACUGAGAGGUUGAACGGCCACAUUGGGACUGAGACACGGCCCAGACUCCUACGGGAGGCAGCAGUGGGGAAUAUUGCACAAUGGGGGAAACCCUGAUGCAGCGACGCCGCGUGGAGGAAGAAGGUCUUCGGAUUGUAAACUCCUGUUGUUGAGGAAGAUAAUGACGGUACUCAACAAGGAAGUGACGGCUAACUACGUGCCAGCAGCCGCGGUAAAACGUAGGUCACAAGCGUUGUCCGGAAUUACUGGGUGUAAAGGGAGCGCAGGCGGGAAGACAAGUUGGAAGUGAAAUCCAUGGGCUCAACCCAUGAACUGCUUUCAAAACUGUUUUUCUUGAGUAGUGCAGAGGUAGGCGGAAUUCCCGGUGUAGCGGUGGAAUGCGUAGAUAUCGGGAGGAACACCAGUGGCGAAGGCGGCCUACUGGGCACCAACUGACGCUGAGGCUCGAAAGUGUGGGUAGCAAACAGGAUUAGAUACCCUGGUAGUCCACACUGUAAACGAUGAUUACUAGGUGUUGGAGGAUUGACCCCUUCAGUGCCGCAGUUAACACAAUAAGUAAUCCACCUGGGGAGUACGACCGCAAGGUUGAAACUCAAAGGAAUUGACGGGGGCCCGCACAAGCAGUGGAGUAUGUGGUUUAAUUCGACGCAACGCGAAGAACCUUACCAAGUCUUGACAUCCCUUGACGAUGCUGGAAACAGUAUUUCUCUUCGGAGCAAGGAGACAGGUGGUGCAUGGUUGUCGUCAGCUCGUGUCGUGAGAUGUUGGGUUAAGUCCCGCAACGAGCGCAACCCUUAUGGUCAGUUACUACGCAAGAGGACUCUGGCCAGACUGCCGUUGACAAAACGGAGGAAGGUGGGGAUGACGUCAAAUCAUCAUGCCCUUUAUGACUUGGGCUACACACGUACUACAAUGGCGUUAAACAAAGAGAAGCAAGACCGCGAGGUGGAGCAAAACUCAGAAACAACGUCCCAGUUCGGACUGCAGGCUGCAACUCGCCUGCACGAAGUCGGAAUUGCUAGUAAUCGCAGAUCAGCAUGCUGCGGUGAAUACGUUCCCGGGCCUUGCACACACCGCCC